AGUGACUCUGAGCUGGUAGUAAAAGCUAGGAUAAAAUUGAUUAUUUUCGUAUGAUUUAAAUUAAUGUAUAAAAUAAACAUGUACAUGUACCAGUUUUAUAGGUUGGUCUAAGUGUGGAACUGCUUGUGGUGGGGUUCUGCCAUCCCCUAGCCAUUGUACAUGUAAGUAGAUGUCAUUGAUGCACAACUUUGUUGCUCUGGUGUGCUUACACAUAAUAUGUUAAGAAUGUAAAGUGGGCUAUAGGCGACAGCAUAGGAUAUGGAUCUGAAUAUGCAGAGUGGGCUUCAACAAUUGAAUUUGUUUUAACAUUUCAAUUUUGGCGUCAUUUUUGGUAUCCAUUUUCAUUCAUUUUAUUGUGGUACCCUUCAUUUUUGCUGUAAGAAAAAUUGUAUUUGCUACUAGGGCUGAAACGAAUAGUGAAAUAUUCGAAUAUUUGUUCGUUAUAGCAAUAUUUGCAUAGUUUUUUGCUAUUCGAAUAAUAAUAUUAUUAAUGGUUAUUGCAAUAAUUAACAGCCACGCCCACCACGUGUUACCUACACAGGCUGCUUUCUUAGUCUGUUUCUUGGUCUGUUUACUUCUCAACUCGCUAAAUACUGAUGCUGUGGCCAGGGAAAGUGGUUCUCAAUCUCUAAGAAGCCCUGUUUGGCAUCAUUUUGAAAAGUUUAACACCAAAAAGCAUGCCAAUUAUUCAAAUAGUGAAAAAUACUAUUCAUUUCA